rnacentral:rRNA from 1 species
UUAAAUUGAAGAGUUUGAUCAUGGCUCAGAUUGAACGCUGGCGGCAGGCCUAACACAUGCAAGUCGAACGGUAACAGGAAAAAGCUUGCUUCUU